rnacentral:rRNA from 1 species
GACGAACGCUGGCGGCGUGCUUAACACAUGCAAGUCGAACGGAAAGGCCCCUUUGGGGGUGCUCGAGUGGCGAACGGGUGAGUAACACGUGGGUGAUCUGCCCUGCACUUUGGGAUAAGCCUGGGAAACUGGGUCUAAUACCGGAUAGGACUACGAAUCGCAUGGUUUGUGGUGGAAAGCUUUGGCGGUGUGGGAUGGGCCCGCGGCCUAUCAGCUUGUUGGUGGGGUGAUGGCCUACCAAGGCGACGACGGGUAGCCGGCCUGAGAGGGUGUCCGGCCACACUGGGACUGAGAUACGGCCCAGACUCCUACGGGAGGCAGCAGUGGGGAAUAUUGCACAAUGGGCGCAAGCCUGAUGCAGCGACGCCGCGUGAGGGAUGACGGCCUUCGGGUUGUAAACCUCUUUCAACGCCGACGAAGGGUGACUGACGGUAGGCGGAGAAGAAGCACCGGCCAACUACGUGC